rnacentral:rRNA from 1 species
GUAGGUGAACCUGCGGAAGGAUCAUUACCGUGCCCGCGGCCGCCGGCCCCCCCUGUAAACAGAGGAGGCGUCUGGCCGGCGCCGCGUUUGGCCCAACCGUGUCUAUCUGUACCUGUUGCUUCGGCGGGCCUGCGGGUCUCGCUCGCUGCCGGGGGCCCUUGAGGUUCCGGGCGCGCGCCCGCCGAAGACACUUGGAACUACUGUUGAAGUUGGCGGUCUGAGUAGCUUGAUAAUUGUUAAAACUUUCAACAACGGAUCUCUUGGUUCCGGCAUCGAUGAAGAACGCAGCGAAAUGCGAUAAGUAAUGUGAAUUGCAGAAUUCCGUGAAUCAUCGAAUCUUUGAACGCACAUUGCGCCCUCUGGUAUUCCGGGGGGCAUGCCUGUCCGAGCGUCAUUGCAACCCCUUCAAGCCCGGCUUGUGUGUUGGGCGUCGUCCCCGCUGGACGCGCCCGAAAGGCAGUGGCGGCUCCGUGUCCGGUGCCCGAGCGUAUGGGCUUCAAUCACCCGCUCUGGUGGCCCGGCCGGCGCUGGCCUUCUC